rnacentral:lncRNA from 1 species
CCACAAAUGUGCAAACAGGUCUGCAAAUAUACAUGCAAAGUCACAAAUGUGCUUGCAGGUUUGUAACCAGAAUAACAUUUGUGUAACAAUAUCUGCAAAUGUCUAUGUCUGAAAUGUCUGAAAUAUUCACAAACACAUGUGCAGAUCCACAAAUUCAUAGAUUUAAACACAGAUAUGCCAUUGCAUGCACGGAUCCUUCAAUGCACUUGCAGUUUAGAAAAUAUGUAAAUGAAUUAGUAAGUUCAUACAAAGAAAGUGAUGACCAAAUAACCUGUGUUUUUGUUACAUUCUUGGCUCCGAAUUUGAAAAAAGCUCCUAAAAAGCUUUUUUAUCCUUUUGAAAUUCCAAAACACACAGACUUGCAUUCUUAAAAUAACCUCUGUCACACUGAUACAGGAGAAAAUUUUUAUGUCUUACUGAGAAUUAUCAAUAAAUAACAUGUUUUUCCUUUGCUUCCCAUCAAAGCUCACGUCUGCAUCAGUUUUCUGAUGGGCAGACGGCAGGGUUUUGAGCAGACGUAUGAAGCCCUCUGCUUUGUUCUCUGUCUCCACCCUGCUGCGGCAGUACCUGGUUGGUGAUCUGAUUUGCAUUGCAAAAGAGGAAAUGCAAAGAAAAACAUGAAAGGUAGCAGACUUUUCAUGCAUUAUAUUAUAGUUUAAAAAAUAAAGCAAUUUGAUGCCAUAUAAACAUCAAUUUAUACAGUAUUUUUCCAGUUGUAAUCUUUGUUCUAUGUUCUUUCAUUCAACAUACAGUUUUUGACAGUAUCUAUAGGUUAAACUGAUGUGUGUUCCUAUCGUACACAGGUUAUAAUGCUGCAGUAGGCAAUCAUGGAAGCUUGGAGCAAGCAUACUUUACAGCAGGAAAGAAGUCACUGGAAUGGAGUGUGAAGAUUGUGCUCUAGUACUUGUUAGCAGCAGAACUCCAAGCCUCCUCUGCACUGAGUGCCCGGGGCAGCUCCUCUAUCCCUGUGUUCCCACAAUCAGCACCAUGGACAGAGUCGUGACACAAUCCAGUGCAGAAUGUUACAAAAGAUAUAGUUCAGCUGGGCAGGGAAGCAGAUUUACAUUAUGUGACACAGUGUGUGGCUCCAGAGUAUGUAGCUGAACUAAUCUACCCUCACUCAUCAUUUCCCUGCUUCAUGUAUAACACACCAAACUGAACUCAGAAGCUCACUUUCUCAAAGUUUGCUGACUGGGUUGAAAACUUUAAACGGUGAAUAAAACUGGACUCACUGCCCAGCAACAUAACAGGAUCAUGCAGAGGCAGCAGCAUAAGCGGAUAGCUGUUAAUUAACUGGUUAGCUUCCAAAACAUGGCAUUGCCUGAUGCUAAAAGGUAUUAUUUUCACCCUGAGAUGAACCACAAUUUCUUGUCAGCUCUAAAUAUUAAAUGAAGCUGUAUUGGAUGUAAUACAAGAGUGUCCAUGCAAAAUGGAGGGCAGUUGGAACUGUAUUUUAGACAAUGCACUAAUGCCACAAGGCAAAUUUCCAUGCCUGAACAGCUCUAUGAACUCAAAGUCUGAGAGCAGGAGUACCAGUCAACAGCACAGCAGUCAGUUUUCCCCUUGCCUAACACCAUGGAUGUAAUGAUAAUGAUAAUACUGCAUCAGAUUUCAAAUAGCACUUUAUCAGAGACCCUCAAAGUGCUUUACAUUAGAUACAUCAUUCAUUCGCUCACACAGUCACACCUUGGUGGUGGUAAACUACCUUACCAGUCACAGCUGCCGUGGGGCAGACUGACGAAAACGUGGCUGCCAGUUUGCGCAUGUGGCCUCUCCAACCACCACCACACAACAGUCACAUUCAUACACCACUGGAGGACACACACUGGGAGCAAGGUGGGUUAAGUGUUUUGCCCAAGGACACAAUCGGGAUAGGGGAGAAUCGAACCUCCAACCUCCCGGUUAUUGGACGACCGCUCUACCUCCUGAGCUACUGCUGCCCCAGAUGGUAUCUUACAGUGUCAGCUGAGGAUGGCAAAGUUGUGACAGAAGGAUUUGUGGAAUACGUGUAUCCCAGCGUCCCAGGUCCACUAAGGUAGAGACUUACAUUUAUGUUAUUUCUUCCAACUUAGAGAACUGCUCAAAAGAAGUGUGCACAAGUGUGUUUAAAACCCUGGAUGUGGACUGGUUGAUCCAAGCUAAGUCUAAGAUAGAAACUUUUUUUUUCUUUUUUAGAGACUUCUGGACACCCUGACCUAGCUGAACAGGCUAAAUUUAAGUUAUUGUUGGUAGAAAUAAAAGGGAUAAUAAGCUAUUUUUGUGUGUGUGUGUGGCAUACGCCGUGUAACUUUGUCUAAGUAAGAUCCCCUUAGUUCUAAGAGCAUAUACUUUAUAAUCAAUAAAAUAAACCCCAUACUAAAGCCGAGAAUACGCCAGUCAAAUACAAUUUUUCAUACGGUUAAGUUCUAACUCUUUAAAUGUUCAUAUUAUAAGUUAUAACCUUUUAUGAUGGCAAUCUCACAGUAGUACAGACAGUAAAAAUAUCACAGUCUUCUUCUAUACUGUUCUAUAAGUAAUACAAGUUCAGGUGUUGUUGAAGGUCUCUUUGCUGCUAACACUUCUCAAAACUUUUGCUACUCAGUUGCCCCGAUGAAAUUUGAAAAAAAAUUGGCAGGACUGUCCCAGCAGAGAGGGCCAAUCCCCUUCUAAUUACCCCGUUCCCUUCCUUCAACGAAUUGCUCACCCACAGAGGAGUAGAGGGGCCCUUUUUUUUUUUUGUGCCUUCUGAGCGUCUGAAAAGGCUUCACCAGAGAGCUCACUUAUGGUAAGACAGGAGCGGAAGUAAGGAAGGAUGUGCUAAAGUGGAACAGACUCCAGCAGAAAAAGGCUGAGACUUCAUGAAAGGUAGUUCCCAUGUGGUUCCACUCAUUCAGUCAGUCGAAAAAUCUCCCAGCAGACUCUGAAAAAUCAUACUUUUUAUAACUAAAAGGAGACAAGCUGUACCAAACCAAGGCUUUCAUCCCAUCUCCUAUUUUUGACGAGGACUAUUUUGAGGGGAUUCUGGAGGUGAUUUUCACUUUUUCUUUUCUCCCCGUGAGCAAUCUUACCUCAGGACAGAACAGGAAAGUAAGCCGGUUGUGAAAAGUUUGACAUAGGUCUGAUGACAAACCCUCCUAAUUUAGCCUUAAGACCAGGCUACGGUUCAGUUAAAGCGAAGAAAAAAAGGCUUGUGAUUUAUAUUUUGGCAGAGCAGCUGCAGACUCACCUCUGCAAAUUUUCAGCUGUAAUUUCUUCCCUCUGCUCCAAUCUAUACGAGCAGCCGAAGCAUGGACAUUUGACCUCAGCCUGAUCACUGCUUCCCAGGUCCGAAUGAAUUAUAGAUGAUGAAAUUUCACAAUGAUUUAGUAAGUGGCAGAUGGGACAGUGGUGCUGGGUCAUAAAGCUGUAAUGAAGUAGAUGCUUUAGACCUUUCUCCAACACCAGUUUCUUCUCACAAGAUUAACGUAGGAGUGUUAAAUAGCCUGAAAUAUGGGGACACAGAUCAUCAUCAGACUUUGAUGAAACCACAGAGUAAAAAAAAAAAAACAGUAAAAAGAAAGAGAGAUCUAUUAAAUCUGAAAAGCAAAGAGGACAGAUGGGGGACAUAUUUUUUCAUGCAUCCACUGCAGUCGUGGAAAUCUCCAAACAUUUCCAGAAGAG